rnacentral:lncRNA from 1 species
CAGCAAUAUGCGAUGAUCGGUGGAUCAAGAAUGGAUUGAGAAGUGGAGGAUGCGAACAGGUUCUUUUUCUUUUAUGGAGGAGCAAGAGUAUGAAGAAGCAGGAGCGGGCAGAAAAAAAAAAGGAGGGAGAGAUUUUUGCCUAAGAUUUUUAUUUUGAAAGUAAGAUUUCUGACGGUGGAGGGAAAGACGAAAAUACGCGAUAUUUCUUAAAAUAUAAGAAAUAAGUCAGAGUAUUUUUUUAUGGACAAAAUAUAAUAUGGUCAUAAAUAUAGAGUUAAAUAUUACUGCUAAAAUUAGCUGUUUUCAAGAUUUUUUUGCAAUUAAUAUACAUAAAUUUAGGAUUCGUUUGGAUCAAAAUAGAAAUUAGAAUCAGAAUAGAAUUCAGAGAUGGACCAGAAUUAGAAACAAAAUAGUAAAACCAUCUACCAUGUUUGGUUUAGAAUAAAAAUCGAAAUCAAAUGGCUGAUUUUCAUUUUUAUAGAAUUUAAAAUCAAGUUCGCAACUCAAACGAUAGAAUUAAAUUUAUAAUUUAAGUCCAUAAUAAAAAUUAAAUAUUAAAUAUUUACAUCAAAAAUUUAAAAUAAUAAGUAAAAAUUUCAAAUACAAAUUUUUAAAAAUUAAAAUUUGAAACUGAGUGAAUAAUUCAACAGACAAAACUAAUUUUUUGUUUGAUUCAAAUUUAUACUUGAAAUUACAAUUUAAAUUUCAAUUCAAGUCUAUAAAAUUUAAUUUAUAAAAUUUACAAUAUAAAAUUUAAAAAUAAAAUUUAAAUUUAAAAUUUAUUUAUCAAUUGCUUGAUUGAAUUUUAAUUUUACUUUAAGUUCAAGUUAAAAUAUAAAUGUCACGCCCCGGGACCGAUUUUAAAAGCCUUUUGAAAACAGAGUUGCGGAAAGCGUGCCAUUUUUUUUUUUUUUUU